rnacentral:rRNA from 1 species
UGAACGCUGGCGGCGUGCCUAAUACAUGCAAGUCGAGCGAACAGACGAGGAGCUUGCUCCUCUGACGCUAGCGGCGGACGGGUGAGUAACACGUGGAUAACCUACCUAUAAGACUGGGAUAACUUCGGGAAACCGGAGCUAAUACCGGAUAAUAUAUUGAACCGCAUGGUUCAAUAGUGAAAGACGGUUUUGCUGUCACUUAUAGAUGGAUCCGCGCCGCAUUAGCUAGUUGGUAAGGUAACGGCUUACCAAGGCGACGAUGCGUAGCCGACCUGAGAGGGUGAUCGGCCACACUGGAACUGAGACACGGUCCAGACUCCUACGGGAGGCAGCAGUAGGGAAUCUUCCGCAAUGGGCGAAAGCCUGACGGAGCAACGCCGCGUGAGUGAUGAAGGUCUUCGGAUCGUAAAACUCUGUUAUUAGGGAAGAACAAAUGUGUAAGUAACUAUGCACGUCUUGACGGUACCUAAUCAGAAAGCCACGGCUAACUACGUG